AAUCAAUGCAUAGAUCGAUGCAAAGUUAAUGCGAAAGAACGACUGAACGUGACAAAGAGCGAGGGACGCGUGUCUUCGCUGAGAGCGUCGGCAACGAGGUCGAAAUUACCACGGUGAGCCUUUAUUUCGUCGCGAACGCGCGAGGGGGUACCUAUAAGAGCGGCGAGACACGACGGAGAGUGGAAAGUUUUGACGCCACCCUAUAAAUCAAGCCGCGGGUUCGCUCGGCCGAAACGUUGCACGGUCUCACCCCGGUUCUCCAGAGUUUCGCUCACCGUAUGUCUCCUUCGCCUCUCGGCACAGACAGCUUGUACAAGGUAUCCAUCCUGCCAACUACAUCUCCACGAGAUAAACUCAGGUAUCUCAUCCCCCGGAGAAACUCCACGAAAGAUCAGACCACCCUGCGACGUCCCUUACACUAACUAGCAACGAAGUGGCCUAUCCCAAAGGAACCGGCAAUAAUCGAAAGAAAACCGAACUAGGGUCUACUACCCUCUAUUCCACUAUAGACAGGCUUCUGUCCGUGUCUUGCCCGUAGGAAAUACGUUUCCGGUAGCUUGUCCGGCUGUCGCAUGACAGAUAGAAAGGAGCAUGGAACACAGAAAGGGGAGAGGAAGAGACAGAGAAAACCGAUAGAGUGGCCAGCAAGCAAGAAAAGGAAGAUAUUGGGAGGAGUAGCUGCGAUGGGGCAGGGUGAGAAGCGAGGAUUCGGCGGAGUGGUUGGUUCAGGGGUUGGUAUUGGAUGCUGCCUCGGCGAAGCUCACGGUAGGGGUAGUUUGACAAGUUGACAAGAGCACAAAGGUCGUGGCGGAGCCGCAAGAGACGUGGAAGGGGAGGAAGGGCGAGGGCUGUACGUAGCGGAGCCUAGAAAAGAGGAGUGUGGGAAGAGGAGGCGUCGCGAUGCUCAGCGUCCGACGGAGGGUUACCGGAUAGGGUAGUAGGGGGUUGAAAGCCCGGUAGAUUCAACGCCGUGAACAAAGGCCGGCUGGCUUCGCCCCGCUGCCUACUCUCGGACUUUGGAAACGAGAUCGCAUACACACACGCCACGGUGUGCGUCUGUAUGCGUGUGAGAACGCCACGAACCGUGUGCACCACCGGUAGGUAUAUACCGCCCAGAAGGGGAGUUAGAGUUUGCUCGCUCGACCCGAUAGAUACGAGCGAGCCGGGCCUAAUAUCGAAAGUUCCUGGCUCGAGCUGAAACCGUGCUUAAUUAAAUCGGAAGGCCGUGAGAGAUAACCGGCGCGUCCCUCCUACGAUGCUCGACGAGAGCGUCUGGAAAACACCCGUGUACUAUGGAUGGGGUUCAUGACGUGGCAAGAAUGCAGCGGGGAAAUUUGUCGCAGCGAAGAACCGAUAUACGGUGGACCGUCGGUAGCGAUUAGAGCGUCUGAAGCGUCCAAUGUGAUCACUCGUUGGGAAAAUUCAACGAUUCCGGUGGUCGUAAUAUCAUUAGCUUCGAAUAGAAUGUUACGGUUUAAAAUUGUGAAUUGGAAACGGCUAAAUACAAUUUACAUUUCAUACACUGUCGGUCUUAUUUGAUAUUCCUAUUUCGUGUUUAAAAAAUGCAGAAAUUGUUGUAGCCGAAGUGGCCUUUUACUCUUGGUUUGUCUAACAGAACGACUUCAUUAUCGACAACUUAAAAUUUCCCUGAUAAUAUUAAUCUUUAUCGAUAACCUACAUGCCAAGUCCAUUAACAAAGGAAGGGAGACCUGUGGAAUGACUCACGUAAUGCUUCCUUAAACAUAUUCGUGGAAAAUUAACGCAUUUAUAAAUUGUCUAUCCUACAAAAAACGAGAAAAUUCCACAAACGUAUUUCUAUUCUAUACGGAGGAAUCUUGGGUUCCUC